CACAUGGCUGGAUUUUAGCCCACCCCUUUUAAUUUUUCUCCUAUUCUCUAUAACCCACUGCUGCCAUGUCAGAAUAUUGUACACGUGUCCAAUUUCUUGUAUGUACGCUCCUCUCCUAAUUGAUUUAAUUAGGUUAAUCCUUUUAAUUAGGGUAUUAUUAUACGCCGUUAGAGAACCCUCCCAACCCUUCUCCUUCAGCCCCCCAUAUCCAUUACUCCGAUUCCUCCCGAUUCUUUUCACACCAUGUCAAUCUAUAUGAAACAAACUCGCACCGCUCAAAUCAAAUUGAACAUCCGAAUAGAAUAGGUAUGUAAGAGAAGAUGCCGCAGUCCUUCGCCGGUCGAUCAAACUCCAGUUCAAGCUGAAGAAGAUCGUUUGAUUUGUAGGUGAAGAAGAUCAGUAAAAUGAGGCUUGCUGGAUACAUUGAAACUAUGAGCGAGUGAAGUGCAAUUGUAGGUUAGUUUGGAUGCAAUGUUCGGGCUGCGGAUAAAAAGAAUUUGUAUGGGUGCACAAAGAAAUUGCACAAGAUAUUCAAAUUGUAGAGGGAUUUGCUAAGAUGCUUUAUUCAUCUUGGAGUUCACGAGAGAGCAGGGGAAUUUGGUGAAGAUGCAAAUACCAUCCCAAAUAGUCUCAUGCUUUAUAUACAACAAAUAGUUGUUGUUGGUAGAUUACCAAAGUUGAAUGUAUGUAGUCAUGAUUUUCUCAUAAAAGAUAGAUGGCACUGGAUAUAUGUAAAUAUUGAAUUGAAAUCUCAGUUGGAAUUAUAGUUUAUAUUUUACUUUGGUUAUAAAUUAGACAUUCAGAGUUAA